UCUAAUAUACUUUGUGUUCCAGCUUUUGCAUACAAAAAAUGAGGAGAUGCUGGGGAUGCAAAAAAUAUUGUUGAGUUUUGGGCAAAAAAAGAUAUGUACAAGUUUUUAAACAUUUUAAACAUGAUUUAAUAUAGAUAAACGAAACACGGUAAACAUUCUUGAUCAGAGUAGUGAAAGGUGUCUUCAGCCCUUGUUGUCAUUAAUAAAGCAACCUGAACAAAGAGGAAUAGAAAUAACAUAUUUAGACAGGAUUUAGUAUCACAUUUAAAUGGUAAUGGAGGAAAAGAUAAAACAACUUGAAAGCAUACUAACCUAAUCAUUGUUUCCAGUGCUGCUGUGUGGCUUUGCCUGAGCAGGAGAUGAAUUUUUUUUUAAUAACUUGAUCUGAACCUCAUUACAUUCUCUUGGAUCAACUUGUGAAAUUUUUUCAGAUUCACUGAUUUGAAUGAUUAUGCAACAUUAAUAUAGUUGUUCACAGAAAGAAGAAAAGAUGAUUCCUAGUUAUAAUUCAUAGUAUUGAAAAUGUUUGAUAUGUAAAUUUUAAGAAAGUUGAAGUGAACACAUGGGAAUUUUUGAAAACAUGAUGUAAAAAUAUAGAGAGAUUAUAUUCACACAUCCCAAAUCACUUCACUCACACUCUUUUAAAAUUUUAAUAUUUUCUACACACCACUAACACUUGAUAGAAAAAUAUUAAAAAAUUAAAAAGGUGUGAAAAAAAUAACUUAGGGUGUCUGAAUAUAAUCUCCCAAAAUAUAAACAUUAUACUUAAGAAUAAUAUGAAAUUAGAUAUCAAACUUUUGUUCACCAGAAAUUUAAAGCGCUUUUCUCACAGAUUCUCUUUUUCGUUUAUAAGAUUGAUCACUUGAUUCAAGUGUUGAUAACGAUUCAAAAACAAAAGAAAAGGACUAGCAAGGGCGGGAGAAGCAAACAAAGACAACAAAGAAAGAAAACGACUGCCAAAAGCGGGAGAAGCAAAGAAAGGUCCUGUUUCUCUGCCCUCCCACUUCCUAUGCACUUUCAUCCUCUCCUAUUUGUACGAUGACGGUUAAAUCAUAUCAACAUUUUAUAUUACUAUUACUUUUUGUCUUAUUAUCGCUAUAACAAAAUUAAUAUAAAAUAUUAAUAUUGCUUAACCGUGACCGCAUAAAAUAAAAAAUAAUGAGAGUGUAUGGGAAGUAUGGGAAGUGGGAGAGCAGAGAUCCCGGGUCCGCAAAGAAAAACAACAAAGAAAAAUUGAAAAGAAAACGGAAGAAAGAAGAACAAAAGUAGAGAUACUACCUUGUGGUGAUGACCGACACGUGGGCGGUUAUAAAUUUUUAUUGUUUGUUGUGCCACAAAUCAUGUGGCCCGGUUUUAAUAACAUUUUUUAAAUUUUUUUUUUUUGUCUUCCCAUCAAAUAUACAUGGGUUUAAAAUGUUAAGAAGGUAUAAACUUUUUAGGGUUGUACUAUCCGCGCACCCAUUUUACUUCUUAUACAUUGUCACAGCCCGUCCUGGAGAUACAUUUGACGGGAAUGUGAAAUGACGGAUUUAUCCUUAGCUGUUAUUAAGGUACGUGUGUGUGAUAUGUUUGAACAUUUCAUGGUUCCUAAGUUUUUGGAAAAUUAAUUAAAUUGGAUUAAAGGUUGAUUUAAAAUUUGGUAUGUAUUUUUGUGUGGUUAAGGAAUUAAAAGACUUGGAAUUUUGGUGGGUUUUGUUGGACCACACAACACACACACGGGUCAACCUCAACCCUUUCCUUCCCCCGUGCUGCCUCUCUCCUCCCUCAGGGUUUUCUCUCACUCUUUAACUCUCGACUUGUACGGACACACUCACCACCAAGCCUACAAGCACGGAUCGAAGGUUGUGAAGGUACCAUAGUGCUCGUGAGGACUAUACGAACUCAACCACACCUAUUUCAGGUAAGAAAUCUUUCGAUUUCACAUCGAAAUCCCAAGCACCGAUUUUGGCACUGUUCAUGAACUUUUUGAUGGUUGAUUUUUAGGACAAUCCAAGCUCAUAGUGAGCUUAGUGAGGUCUCAAGGAAGCUUGGAGUGCUUCGUUGGAAGGAUUUGGACGUCGGGAUCACGAGGGUUAAGUUUGGCCGGUUUUACUUGGAUUUUUCCGGUGAGAUUUAGUUGUUUUUGAAGCUUAAAAGUAGUAUAUUGUGAUUCUACAUGUUGAGGGCUUUAAAUUGAUAUAUUAUACGAAGAAAAUGGUUGAGAAACGAAGGAGAACAAGGCAUUUGAAAAAUGCCCAGAAUCCGGCCACCGGAGAAAAACCAGUCCGGCGAACUCGCGAGGAAGAAGGUGCGCGUGGACCCGUGCCUUCCUUGGCGCGUGGGGGCGCGUUCCACAGUAAAAAAUUAUUUUAAAAAUUUGUCGACGUCCGUGACGUCGAGUAGGUCAAUGUGGUAUAUUCAUAUACCCAAAUUGAGCACCGUAUGAGAAAGUUAUUACGAUUAUUGGUUAGGUGCUUUAAAUAACGUUUUAUAGUUUUCACAUUUAGGUGAAAAUGUGAAUUGACGAUCCGACCGUUGGAUCGUCACCAAACUUUGAUACGUUGUAAUACAUAAUAUUUGAGGAUUAUUGGAACUUACGGAUUGGGAAUCCGAGUUACGGAUCUUUCGGAAUUGGAGUUAUAAGUUCAAAAAAUAAAAUGUUAACCGUCACUUAGUUUUGGAAAUUGACGGAGAUCCGACCGUUGGAUGGUAAUGAAAUUUCAGGAUGUUGUCCUAGAGAUAUAUUGUGGACUCUGGAAGUUAUGGAUUUAAAAUCUGAGUUGCAGAUCUUUCGGAUCAAUCUACGUAGUGACGUAUUUUAUAUAAGUUAUAUUCUAUUGAUAUGAUUUCUGAGGUUGGAUUUGAUUAUUGUUCUAGGCGGCGAUCGUCAUGACGCCUUGAUGAGUUGUGCUAGGGAGUUGUAGGGCGAACUCCAGGUGAGUGGGCAGUUUUGUUUUCGUAUUACCUAUAUACUAUUGAGUUUUCCCAGAAAUUGAAUUUAAAUGAAAGCAUGAUUUAAAAUGCCAUGGAUAGAUUUAUAUGAAAAGUAUGAUUUGAAAUGCCAUGCAUAGAAGUAUAUGAAAAGCAUGAAUUGAUAUAUGAUGUAUAUAUAUAUAUAUAUAUGUGAAUUGGUGCUGUGGACGCACAGGUAAGUAUAAGGUGAGUUUUAUAUUAUUCAUGUGCAUUGUUGAUGUGUAUAUUAUGGAUAGCUCAUAACCUGCAAUCAUGGUGUUAGUGCUUAUAUUAUUCACCACACCGCACGCUCGUCUUGGAUCCAAGUAGGUGGAUGUCGUACAGACCAAGUGAAGGUUCCGACAUGCUAGUCGUAUAGAUUACUAGAUGUGAUUCCGACUAGUGGGUGACCUUAGAUUAUGUGCACAGAUGAUUGAUGAGAGAAGCACUAGAGCGUAUUAUUACACCAUCCAUGUCGUACAGACUACUUCAGGUAGUUCCGACUUAUCUGCAGUGUAGUGCCGUACAGGUCAUCGAGGUGACUCCGGUUGGAUUGGAUGUUGAGCUAUGGAAUUAACCGUACAAGACCAACUGCAGGGUCUCCGGUUAAUUCAACUUUUCACCUGUUACAUUGAUGCAUCAUUUAUUUUGUUUUCGAAAUUACAACAUGGCAUACUUUCGGGUUUUAAAGAAAAAUUGAUGAUUCGAGAUUUAUGGAAAGUAUUAUGUUAUUAUACUAUUUUCUGGGAAAAGUAUACAGGUUUUACAGUGAGGGGUUAGAAUUAUUUUUGGCGAAAUGUUUUUGAAAAGCUUGGUUUUACUGACCCACUCAAUUUUGUUUUUCGCCCCUCCAGGUUCUUGAUAGCAGAGUUUUGGUGGCCACGAGGAAUCCAACGGUAUUCUGACAGAAAUUACAAAAGUAGGACUCACCCUCGAGGGUUUCCAUUUUAAUAAUUGUAUUUUAAAAGCUUCCGAACUGUGUAAAUGGUUACGUCACUCUCAUGUGACGGCCAACAUGCCCUCAUUCGGGACGGGGUGUGUCAUACAUUCUUGAUAAUUUAUAUCUGUAAAUCUUCUUCAAUUCAUCCGAUCCGACGGACGAAAAUUAAGAAGAUGUGUGAAAAGGAAAAUGAGGUGUGUGGAUAUCAUACCCUAAUUUUUAUUGUUUGUUAUCACAAAUUUUUUUUAAAUAAAUGUACAAUGAUAAAUUAUAUAAGUACUAAAACUCAGUUCGGUAGCACAAUAAAGAACAAAGAAAAAGUCACUUAUUAUAAAUCACAUGCUUUGCUUAUGUUUGAGCAGCUUCGGGAAUCGAUGGUUUUCAUAUCUUGCAAAUUCGGACUCUUAACUUCGCUAGCUUUAUAUACGGAUAUAAUUUAUCGAUAGAAGUUGGAGCUAUAUUUUUCAUUUACCCUGGUCAAACAAAGCAUAAAUUUUUAAAUUUCUCUUUCGUUCUUUGUUUAUUAUUUCCUAUUUUCUCUACUCUAAUUUAAACAUCAAAUUCAUCCAAAAACAAAUUUUUUUAAUAAUUGUUUCCUAUUUUCUGCGCUCCAAAUUAAACAUCAAAUUUACCCAAGAACAGAAAAUAAGCAAAAAUAAGUGGAAAAAGAAAAAGAAAAAGAAAAGAAGAACGACAUAC
rnacentral:lncRNA from 1 species